UGCUGUUUCUGCAGUUAUUUUUGAGAACUAUUCUGUAUUUCUAGGAGUGUGCUUGAAUCAGAAGAGCUGAAAUAUGGCAUUGGCAGCAUGUAGAUUUUGAUUCACUCCUCUCACUGGCGAAGUCCGCCUCUCCCUAUGCAAUGCUGAAGGAAUAUAUUCGUGCUCAUGAUGUCCCUAUUUAUCACUACAUUUGCAAACAUGACCCAGGAAGUCAGACUCCAUUAUAGCAUCAAUCACCAGUCCAAGGGGAAAUUAACCAAAAAGAGGGUUUUUCUUCCAACAGCGAGCAAGCAAACAACAACAAAAUACCAUCUUGACAAGAUACUAAAAGUUUAUAGUUUCAAAAAGGGACUGGAGAAAUGCACAGAAAUGCAUUCCUUGGAAGCUGUGGUAUUCACCUCCCACUCCAGAAGUUCUUGAACUUGAAACGACUGAAGGUUGGGAAAGCUGGUUUUCUGAAGCUGGGAAAACGUCAUGAUACGUUUACCUUGUUGUUAUAUUCCUCUACAGAAACAGGAUCCCAGCUGAGCGUAACUCCUGUAUUGCCCUCAAAACGAUUACAGGAUUUCAACCAAGGAGCAAAUACAAAUUCUAAGCCCAAUUCUUUGUCAGCUCUCUUCAUCAUCUUGGAUCCACACUGGAGCUAAGCCAUGACAGUUCUUUCCUGUUUUGCCUGCAAACAAGCCCAGUCAGUGAGCUCCAGGGAUUUUACUGGGACUGCUCCCUGCCUGAAAUCUAGUCCUGACUCAAAAGGACGUGGUCCCUCCCUGUUGAAUUCACUGGUGACUCUCACCUGUGCUGGAAGUUACUGCCUACCCUAUGCAACUGCUGCUGCUCCCACUACACAACUCUGUAAUGAGUGAUGUAUAAAAUGAUCCAACUAAAAGAGCAAUUAUAGAGUAAAUGUAAAAAGGGAAUCAAGGUGGGAAAUCAUUAAAUGACCUGCUGCCCAAGGAAUUGUAAUGUGGUAUUGCGGUCAGUGCUAGAUCCCUGAUUACAACAAUAAGGUUGACUUGAUCCCAUAGUAGGCUUAAGCCUUUCUUCUGUCUUCAGUGGUCUUCGCAGUUUCUCUGGUCUAGUAGAUGGAAGAGCAGCUGACCAAGCUCAAGAUUUCUCUCUUUAGUCAUUCCAGGAAUUUUGGGGACUUUUUUCCAUGUCGGUUUCUUUUUUUCCUCCCCUCUUUGAAGGGUGUAGGUAUUUAAAAACAAAACAAAACAAACAAAAAAAAACUUUGCAGGAUAAGGACUCAAUCUAAAGCACAAGAGAACUGUACUUGAAGGGACCCAACUUAGACAGAAAAUAUGAGGUGUGGGUGUCCUAAAUUACCUUUCCAGUAACUGUUUUAUUAUGGACAUAUUGCCUUUUAUUCAUUCAGUCCUUGUAAGUACUCCUGGCCCAUUAUUUUAAAGUAUCCAGGAGGAAAAUAGGUUUUAACUUGAUUUUCCAUACAUUACUGUCUUUCUCCUGCCAUAGCCUUGAAUCAAACACAGCUAACUAGUUUAUAUUGUGAGGCAAUGUUCUGGGAGAGAGCAGGCAGCUGACCAAAACAUUGGCCAAACAGUGUGCUGAGAAGUAUAGCAUCUUUGCCUUGACACCCUGAGCAAUUUCCAGUUCGCUACCUAGACACCUAGAAGUUAGAUGACUCUCUAGUACAGCUGUCUACAAGUUGAAUGUUUAACCGGGCUUUGG
rnacentral:lncRNA from 1 species